AUGAUAAUCUAUCUUAAAAGCAUUUUUAUUUAAUAAAAUACAGAGUCAGCUCAAGCAAGCACAUGCAAUGAGAGACAAAAGGAUUGGUGUUAUUUAAAACUUGAGCACAGGAAGAUCUGAAGAGGAUACUGAGUGAAAUUCAAUCCAGUAAAGUUGAUACAUUCUUGGCAGCUAUUUAAGAUCCUCCAGGUUGAAUGCUAUGAGAAGGGUGAUGGAUCAUUUCUAAGCUUCCAGAAACCUCAGCUCAGAUCUUCAGACUGAAUCUGGAAAAAUGAUUACCUGAAUGUCCUCCAAAACAACACAGGGCCUCUGCUGAAAUUCUUUUCUUUUAUUAUUUAUAGAUGGGAAACAAUAUCUGCUAGUAUCAAAAUGUAAAUCAGUUUAUAACCAUACAGAGUUGGAGGACAAACACGACUGCAAGACAUCACCAUUUACAGAAGGAGGCUACUGUCAUCAUUUGGAGAGUAUAACAGAAAAUGCAUCCCAAAUAGAGACAGAAUGGCUUUUCGGCCUGGCAGAGCCCUGGCUCACACUGUUUCAGUGGCGAACAUCCAGGGUGAUAAUCCCUGCAAGCAAUCGCUUAGCUGGUGCUGAUCCUCCAGCAGGCUGUUGGAGCAAAGGUUAUCAGGACAAGUCAAUAUGCUUUGCGAAUGGGAGAAAAAUAGAUGACUUGGAUGAUUCAACAUUGUUGUAUUACAUUCUCACACAGUCCAUCUAACAAAAUUUAUUCUCACUGAAAUUAAUUGAAAGCUAUAUGAAAAACUGAGUGCAAGACCAUACUGCAUAUCAGUGGUUCAAGACACAUCAAGUACAAUUGAAAUGAAUCCAGCAGUGAGAAUGCUCAUCCAGAAAGACUGGAGGUGUGUAUGUAAUAAAAUGAAAUAAACUGAAAUAGAAACA
rnacentral:lncRNA from 1 species